UCUUUGGUGGAAAAGAAAACAAGUUAUGACACAAGCCUGAGACCUUCUAUUUGAACUCUAAGCUUUGGAAAUGGCAGGAACAGGUUUACAAACACAAAGAGAGAUUUGAAGUCAGAAACACCGCAGGAAUCAAGCUUCCCAGAAUUCUUUUCCUGCCAGUAUGUCCACCCUUUACCACCUCUUCCAUUUCUCUAGUCACCCACCAGCAAGCAGAAGAGCCAUUCUGGGGAGGUUCUCAUCCUCAGAGAGAGGAAUUAAAGACAAAAUCUGGCAAGUUGA